AGUGAACGCUGGCGGUAGGCCUAACACAUGCAAGUCGAACGGCAGCACAGUAAGAGCUUGCUCUUACGGGUGGCGAGUGGCGGACGGGUGAGGAAUACAUCGGAAUCUACUUUUUCGUGGGGGAUAACGUAGGGAAACUUACGCUAAUACCGCAUACGACCUACGGGUGAAAGCAGGGGAUCUUCGGACCUUGCGCGAUUAAAUGAGCCGAUGUCGGAUUAGCUAGUUGGCGGGGUAAAGGCCCACCAAGGCGACGAUCCGUAGCUGGUCUGAGAGGAUGAUCAGCCACACUGGAACUGAGACACGGUCCAGACUCCUACGGGAGGCAGCAGUGGGGAAUAUUGGGCAAUGGGCGCAAGCCUGAUCCAGCCAUACCGCGUGGGUGAAGAAGGCCUUCGGGUUGUAAAGCCCUUUUGUUGGGAAAGAAAAGCAGCAGGUUAAUACCCCGCUGUUCUGACGGUACCCAAAGAAUAAGCACCGGCUAACUUCGUG
rnacentral:rRNA from 1 species